rnacentral:lncRNA from 1 species
CGGAGUUGUCCCAAGCAUUAACUCAAUACCAAACUCUACUCCCGAAUAGGUGGCAAACCCAGUAAUUCUUCAGGAAACACAUUCGGAUACUCGCACACAACAGGUACUGAUUCAAUGUUUCUUUCAGCUACUUUACUAUAAGCACAUAUACAAAGUAAGCCUCGCAGCCUUUUCUCACAUAUUUCUGAGCUAACAUCGAAAAAAUUACUACAGGUAAACCAUAUAAAUCACUAGAUUCAAUCCGAUUAACCUCAUUA